UACGUAGGUGACCAGCGUUGUCCGGAUUUACUGGGCGUAAAGGGCGCGUAGGCGGACAGUUUAGUCAGAGGUGAAAGCCCAGGGCUCAACCUUGGAACUGCCUUUGAUACUGACUGUCUUGAGUUCGGGAGAGGUGAGUGGAAUGCCGAGUGUAGAGGUGAAAUUCGUAGAUAUUCGGCGGAACACCAGUGGCGAAGGCGACUCACUGGCCCGAUACUGACGCUGAGGCGCGAAAGCGUGGGGAGCAAACAGG
rnacentral:rRNA from 1 species